GUCUGACGGAGCACGCCGCGUGAGUGAUGAAGGCUUUCGGGUCGUAAAACUCUGUUGUUAGGGAAGAACAAGUACGAGAGUAACUGCUCGUACCUUGACGGUACCUAACCAGAAAGCCACGGCUAACUACGUGCCAGCAGCCGCGGUAAUACGUAGGUGGCAAGCGUUAUCCGGAAUUAUUGGGCGUAAAGCGCGCGCAGGCGGUUUCUUAAGUCUGAUGUGAAAGCCCACGGCUCAACCGUGGAGGGUCAUUGGAAACUGGGGAACUUGAGUGCAGAAGAGAAAAGCGGAAUUCCACGUGUAGCGGUGAAAUGCGUAGAGAUGUGGAGGAACACCAGUGGCGAAGGCGGCUUUUUGGUCUGUAACUGACGCUGAGGCGCGAAAGCGUGGGGAGCAAACAGGAUUAGAUACCCUGG
rnacentral:rRNA from 2 species